GCAUUGGUAGUACAGUGGUAGAAUUCUCACUUUCCAUAUGGGAAACCCAGGUUCAAUUCCCACCAAUGCA
rnacentral:tRNA from 1 species